rnacentral:rRNA from 1 species
GGCGGUAUGCUUAACACAUGCAAGUCGAACGGCAGCAUGAUCUGUAGCAAUACAGAUUGAUGGCAAGUGGCGGACGGGUGAGUAACGCGUAGGAAUCUACCCUGUAGCGGGGGACAACCCGGGGAAACUCGGGCUAAUACCGCAUAAUACUCUGAGGAGGAAAGCUAGGAGCAAUUCUGGCGCUAUAGGAGGAGCCUGCGUCCGAUUAGUUAGCUGGUGAGGUAAAGGCUCACCAGGACGAUGAUCGGUAGCUGGUCUGAGAGGAUGACCAGCCACACUGGGACUGAGACACGGCCCAGACUCCUACGGGAGGCAGCAGUGGGGAAUAUUGGACAAUGGGGGCAACCCUGAUCCAGCAAUACCGCGUGUGUGAAGAAGGCCUUCGGGUUGUAAAGCACUUUGGGUGGGGAAGAAGGUAUUCUGUUUAAGAGAUGGGAUACUUGACGGUACCCGCAGAACAAGCACCGGCUAACUCUGUGCCAGCAGCCGCGGUAAUACAGAGGGUGCGAGCGUUAAUC